rnacentral:rRNA from 1 species
CACGUAGGGUGCAAGCGUUGUCCGGAAUUAUUGGGCGUAAAGAGCUUGUAGGCGGUUUGUCGCGUCUGCCGUGAAAAUCCGGGGCUCAACCCCGGACUUGCGGUGGGUACGGGCAGACUAGAGUGUGGUAGGGGAGACUGGAAUUCCUGGUGUAGCGGUGAAAUGCGUAGAUAUCGGGAAGAACACCCGUGGCGAAGGCGGCUCUCUGGAACGCAACUGAUGCUGAGACGCGAAAGCGUGGGGAGCAAACAGG